AAACCAGCACCUCAAGUGGUCAGGAUGAUUAUUGGGCCUAAAGCAUCCGUAGCCUGUUCUGUAAGUUUCCGGUUAAAUCCAUUAGCUCAACUAAUGGGCCGCCGAAAAUACUGCAAAACUAGGGAGUGGGAGAGGUAGACGGUACUCGGUAGGAAGGGGUAAAAUCCUUUGAUCUAUUGAUGGCCACCUGUGGCGAAGGCGGUCUACCAGAACACGUUCGACGGUGAGGGAUGAAAGCUGGGGGAGCAAACAGGAUUAGAAACCCCUGUAGUCC
rnacentral:rRNA from 1 species